CAUGGGGCACUCCUAAAGAGCUAAAGAGACCAAGAAUCUGAAUCCAAGCCAGAUAAUUUCCUCUGAAUGCCUGAGAAGAGAACCUGAGCCAAUGUUUCUUAUUCCAGAUCCUUCUGAACUUGUUUGUGCAGGCAUAGAGACUGUAUAUAUUUAAAACCUAUCAGUUGUGAACAAAACCCAACAAUAUUAAACAAAAUUGGUACUGACACAAAAUAUCAUUUGAAAUUGCAUGUUGAUUAAAAAAAAAGUAUUUAAACCGUCCCCAGCUGAAAAAUAUUGGCACAAUAUUGUCACCUUAUUUUCUUUCGUUUAACUACCCAUUUUUAUGUGUCUGCAGAUUGACGAAAGAAUGUAAAAGUUUGGUGACUUAACAUGUUA